CACCAAAAGAUUCUUGACUUUUCAUGCCAGGUUGGCGAGCUCAUAGGUCAUAGUGGCACCGAUGGAAAAACUACCUACAAAAGAAAACACAUUUAUGAGACCUUCAAGGGAGGAUCACAGCAGUUGUGGCAUCUUGUUUUUGACAGACGUUGGACCCCCACAUAUGAUUUCAUUUCUUCAUCUGUUAUGAGGGGGCUCUGUGGGUCUCACGCAGUCUCUGGCCAGAGCCUGGGGAAAUUACUACUCUAACAAUAGAGGCUUGAAGGACCCAGCAAUAAAACUGGACAUCCAGAGGAAGGAACUAAAGGAAGGUGAAUACUUCUAUCUCAAGUUCGCACACAAGAAUCUUUGCUUCUGGUGGAACCCUGUACGUCAGCUCUCUCUUCUGAGGGUACCAGAAUUCAAAUUCAAGUCAGUGCCCUCUGCUGUGUGGCCACCUGUUCUGGGUACUAGGGAGUAAGCAGAGUUCUGCCAUACUCUUGUUACCUGCUAAUCUGCUUCCUGUCACAUAUAAGCACUUCUUCUUCUCCCCCCCCCCCCACCCCUCUCCCCACCUGCUCUAUCCUUGUUUGGCCUUCUGAAAAAAAAAAAUACAAACUAGGAAAACAUUUCUAUGACAAGUUUCCUCUUUCUCUUUGGAAAAAUAAAUUUCCUCUUAGUCAAGAAUGUGUAUGUUUG
rnacentral:lncRNA from 1 species